rnacentral:rRNA from 1 species
CCUACGGGAGGCAGCAGUGAGGAAUAUUGGUCAAUGGGCGCGAGCCUGAACCAGCCAAGUAGCGUGAAGGAUGACUGCCCUACGGGUUGUAAACUUCUUUUAUAAAGGAAUCAAGUGAGGCACGUGUGCCUUUUUGUAUGUACUUUAUGAAUAAGGCUCGGCCAACUCCGUGCCAGCAGCGGCGGUAAUAGGGGGGAUCCGAGGGUUAUCCGGAUUCAUUGGGUUUAAGGGGUGCGCAGGGGGGCCUUAAAGCAGGCGGUGAAAUCGCGGGGCUCAACCCCGCCGAGCCGUCGGAACUGGGGGCCUUGAGUGCGGCGGAGGCAUGCGGAAUGCGCGGUGUAGCGGUGAAAUGCAUAGAUAUCGCGAAGAACCCCGAUUGCGAAGGCGGCGUGCCGUGCCGCCACUGACGCUGAGGCACGAAAGCGCGGGGAUCGAACAGGAGUAGAUACCCCUGUAGUC